rnacentral:sRNA from 1 species
UCUUAUAGAGCGUUACACCCACACUGAAAGAAUCGCACAAUCCACCCAAACUAACGAAAUUGCACAAUCUAUCCAAAAAAGCAGAUUUGCACAAUCAAGCCAAACGAACAGAAUUUCACGAUUCACACAAACUGACAGAAUUGAACAAUCUACCCAAACUGACGGAUUUGCACAAUCUUCUCAUGCUGAAAGACUUCUUAGCCAUAGUGAUAAAAAUGAAGAAUCAACAUGUUCUGAUUCACUAAGCAAAGACUUUUAUAACAUAACAUACUGGCUAGCAAUCUGUUUAUUGAAUCUUUUAACGAACAAUAAUGCAAUCCUACAAUCUGGUCUGACAGAGGUCAAUAUUCAAUCUUCUAAGCCUAAUAUCAAUUUACAAAGUCAAAUCAAUUGUACCAAAAAAACGUUUCUACACGAUACAACGAUUGAUCAAAACAAUGAGAAUAAUACGACAUUCUCUCUAUUCGACGAGCCAGACAAUCUUUCUAAUGAGCAGGAACAUUCAGACCUGGCAGCCCUAGAUUUUCAGUCUGCUGAUCAGUCCUAUGUUAAGGUACCUGCCCCAGGAAUAUCCCAAAGAGCUUUCAAUGUUAAACGGAGUGUAAGCUCGAUAGAGAAAGUCGAACAUCCGAAGGAGCUUCAGAGAGAUGCAAAGAAACAGGCUUGCAGUCUUGAUAAAAUCUGUGAAAUGGCUCCCGAAGAUGAUAAACAGAAAAUGUCAAAAUCAUGUCCUGAUAUUUCCUUUUACUACACUACUGUCAACAUCAAUGGAAAAGAUUCUAAAAUCGCAAUGGACGGAAGCAAACUCAACAUCAAUAAGGAAGCAUAUAGCUCACACGAGUAAGGAAAAGAAACAACAGAAAAUGAAACGGUUUGGCUGUAUCUUUGCACAAUAAUACAAUCAAUAUAUAAUUUUAAUAUUUCUUUGGAAUUAAUAAAGCUAAUUGUAAAUACUUAGUGUAAAUAAAACGUUGGUUAUUAUAACCAAGUUAAAUGGCAUUUCCAUUAAUUUCUCCUCCCACCACAUACCUAAGAUUCUCAAUAUCUGUGUUUUCAAUAAACUCUUAAUGUGGUAUGAUUCGAUAGAAAAUUACUUAGCAGUUUUUUAAACGUUUUAUAAAAGUAAAGUUCUCCUUUCAGACCUUGCAAUUUAGAUCUAUAGGGCAGAUGAUGUAAAGGUCAUCUACUUCUGUGGCCCAAGGUUAACUGAUUAAUGGAGUAAUGUGGUAACUGAAAAAAAACUAAGAAAGUGAGUACCUAUUAAGAAAGUAAAAAGUGAAGUUCCUCUUUCAUACAUUUCGAUCUAUGGGUCAGAUGAUGUAAAGAUCACUGCCCAACAGUUAACGAGGGUGUCAUGAGGCCAGCACAAC